rnacentral:rRNA from 1 species
GUGGGGAAUAUUGGACAAUGGGCGAAAGCCUGAUCCAGCCAUGCCGCGUGUGUGAAGAAGGUCUUCGGAUUGUAAAGCACUUUAAGUUGGGAGGAAGGGCAGUAAGUUAAUACCUUGCUGUUUUGACGUUACCAACAGAAUAAGCACCGGCUAACUUCGUGCCAGCAGCCGCGGUAAUACGAAGGGUGCAAGCGUUAAUCGGAAUUACUGGGCGUAAAGCGCGCGUAGGUGGUUCAGCAAGUUGAAGGAGAAAUCCCCGGGCUCAACCUGGGAACUGCCUCCAAAACUACUGAGCUAGAGUACGGUAGAGGGUAGUGGAAUUUCCUGUGUAGCGGUGAAAUGCGUAGAUAUAGGAAGGAACACCAGUGGCGAAGGCGACUACCUGGACUGAUACUGACACUGAGGUGCGAAAGCGUGGGGAGCAAACAGGAUUAGAAACCCUUGUAGUCC